CCUGCUGCUCUGAAUGAGUUGACUUAAUAGCAACAGGAUUGGGCUCUUCAUGGACAAACUAUUCUGCCUGUUUUCUAUGCAAGCCAAUGAGAGAAGAGCGAGUGAUGCAGGCAACCUAGAAAAGGGGAGGAGCUGAGCAAAGUACUUCCACAUGGUCUCCGUUGCUAUAGAAACCACUUCUUUUGUCUGCAUGUGCAGCUGCUUCAUUUAUAAUCCAGCUCUCAGCUGAGCUCCUACAAUCCAGGUCACAAUCAUUUGAAUAAUACAGUCUCCUUGCAAGGCUCAGACCAAAAGAAAAAAAACUAUUUAUUUUGUAUGAACAAUUGAAUUUCCUGAUGGUUUUGUCAGGAAGAGCUUUAUAGUUGCUCCUUUUUUUUUUCUCCCCCUCUUCUUUACCAAUGUGACUAAAAAUAUGAAUGUAGAGCUUUCAUGUACUGUCUUUGAUGGACCACUUCUUUUUCUGUUUGUCUGAUGAUAUCUACUGUGAUUGUCAUAAAGGAACUACAGUUGCUAGUUUGUGAAAUGCCAAAUAAUCCCCUAAAUUUACACAUUAAAACAAAAUCCCAUUAUGGCUUUAGUGGAAAGGGUGCUAGAG